UGUGCUCAUCCGAUCUGUUGAACUUGGGGGGUGGAUACAUGGGGGCUCAUCCUACUGUUCUCUCCUCCUUUAUACAUGUUUGAAAUUUUC